AAAUAAAUAAAUAAAAUCUUAAAAAAAAAAAAAGAAAAGAAAUGGCCUGGCGGCCAGCCCCAGCUGUCCUUCCCCUCUCCCGGCUGGGACAAGGGUGCUGAUGUUCAGUGCUGCUGUAGAAAGCCAGAAGGUUCUCAGCAGAUAGGAGACACACGCCCAUGAGCUGGGUCUCCACAGAACCCAGAGCCCAUAAGGAGUUCAGGCAACAAUAGAACUAGUAAGAAGAGACCAAACAGAGGGCCCGAAGGGGAACAGGUGCAGCGUGCCUAGCAUCUCAGAAACCCCUCUACACAAGAUCUUUGAUUUGUAUCAGAGUCAUCACGUGAUGUCUGCCAAGGUACGGAAAAUACAGAACCAGCUGGAAGGGAACUUAGACAUGAAGGCUUCCAGUGACUAGCUGAGAAGCAGAGACCAAGCGGCAGAGGUGAGAGCCCAUCCCUGAUGCCUCGAUUCUCUAACCAAUAGCUUUCCUACAGGACCACGUUGCUUCUGUGCACCAGCACAGGUAUCCCCAGGGGCUAUGUGUGCGUGCACACGUGUGUGUGUGUGGUCCCGGCUCCCUCUCCCCAUGAGCACCCCUUGGCCCUUUACCUUUGCUAAUUGCAAACCACAGUCACUGGUAGACUCAUUCAGCGUUCCGACUGCCAGAUCAGGAAUCCUUUAAGAAAAGGCAUGACUCCUGCCUAAUGGGGCCACGGACACCCUAAAAGAAAGCCAAGAUGGCCCUCAGCAUCCCCCUCCAAUCAACAUUGAGUUCAUCACCCUUCCGCUCCCUUUUCUCCCUAUGCCCAGCCCCCCAUCUCCCACCUCAAGUGGUCUGCUCGUCCCCCUCUGCAACCACAGCCGUAAUCAGCACUAUGAGAGGCUGAGAGAAUGUGGAGUUUCCUUAUCUUCCACAGAACCUAGAACAGAGUCAGCAGUCCAUAAAUACAUGUUCUUUCAAGGAGCCUUGAGGUAGGUUUUCUGACUGCAGUGACCUUGGGGGAAAUGUAGGUGGGACGUGGACCCAGGGCUGGAGAGGAAUGGGCUUCCUACCAUGCUGCGCCCUCGGGCGCUGACAGCUUAGGAAGAUCCCUCUUUGAUUCUGGAGUCAGUGUUUCUGUGGCAUUUGCUGACUCAGGAGCGAAGGACCCUUAGAGAGGUGGCUUGUCCCCAUUCUGUCCUCGGGAGGCCUGGAGACACCAGUCUAGCACCUUUCUGGGCUUACUUUCAAGGUCACCUGGCUGCUGAGCGGGGUGGGGCCAUCCAGUUUGUAAAAUCACAAAUACUGUUUUUCAAAGACAUGGUUCUCGGGGAAGAUACACGGUGAAGUCAUUAUCUCCACUAAGCCGGUGGUGAUCGUCGUGGUGACAAACCUUAAAGCCCAAGAGCUCAGAGCUCUCUCAAUCAUCACAGUAACUAUUCUGAAAGUCUCCCCAGUGGAUGGGCCACUUCAUGACCUCUAGGUGAGGCAGUCGGGUGACCUAAAAGGAAAAAAGUCCUGGGAACGGGCCGGAGGCGGCUGCUCCCUGAGCCGUGUGCCCGAGGAAGUGAGGAUGCGUGGAGCCAUGCAGAGUCGCUGGAGGGGGGCAGCAGAGAGUCCUGGGGCAGCCUGAAGCUUCUCGUCAAGGUCAUUGGCAGCAGGGAGAAGGCUCUGAGACACUUGAUCUUUUUCCCUGCAAUAGGCCAAGAUCGGGUGCUGGGUUAAGCACACUGCAUUGUCUCCAGCACGCUGUGAAGAAAGCUGACUUACAUGAGGAUAUCGAGGGCACAAGAGUCAAGAAACAUGCCCAAGACUGCGUGGCUAGCGGGCGAGGAGGCAGGAUUGCAAGCUGGAUCUGUCUGUCCUGCUUCAGAGGCUCUGUGCUCUCUGGAGGCUUUCCCUCUCGGAGGCUCCUCUACCUGCCAUGCGAGUUAGCAGCCUCCUGGUCCUAGGACUUCUUUCCCCUUUGACCUUGAACAGCCUCAGUUUCCCCUGCCAUAAAGUUGGGCUGAUUGGGACCCCACUGGAUUUCUGUGAGUAUUAAGAUAAGCUGCUUCACCUCCCAGACUGGGCGCAGAGCCUCUCUCCCGCCCCGGAGGCCAGCCCAGCCCUCUGUGAUCCGUGGCUGGUUGAUUUCAGGGCUCCUGGUGCUGCCGGAGCCGAUUACCAGCUGCGACAACCUCAUUCUGCAAAAAUCACGCUGGCUUUUACAGGUCUUUACGGGAAGGAAAUAGGCUAAUGCACUGUUUCCCGAGUAUGUCAGUACAGCCGAAUCUCUCUAAUGGGCUCAAAUUGCAGUUUUAAAACCUAAACUAUGAACUUAAACUCUCCCGCAGACAUGGGCAGGACAGGCGUCCUCACUUCUCAUGCUUCCAGUGAAAAUCUAGGCAGAGAACAACCCUGGGUCCUGCCUCCCUCUGAAUAGCAGGGCUCACAAGCAGGAGUGAACGUGACCUCAGCUGGGCUUGCUCUGCAGAAAGCUUGCUUAUACAGUGGGACUGCUGGGGUGCCUGGGCGGCUCGGUCAGGAUUUAAAAAGAAAAGAUGGCAGAAUCCCAAUAACCUUUGGACCCUGGAAUUGAAUAAACUUUCAUGCUGGCUGCCUUUCCCUUCUCUGUGGGAGGCAUCUGCAGCUGCUAUUUCAGCAAGAAAUCCUUCCAGAAUGAGAGAGGCCUGAAUGUCUAGCCAACAUUGUCGUCUUCUGAGAGCCCAGCUGCUGGGCAGGGGGUAGCAAGGGAAUAAAUUUGGAAUGAUACACAAGUCAGUGUCUGUCUGGGGGGUCCUCGCAGACAUUCAUUUUCUAUUUUCCUUUUACUCACCACCCAUGUGGUUCCCAUGGGUCCUUCCCAACGAGAAGAAAGGAAGGGGGUUGCAGAUGACUAAAAAGGGGGGAGAGGGAGGGGACAGACAUGUUUCUGACGUCAGUUAAAGCACCUUAAACUGUCCUGGAGGUGAGGCAUCGGAACCAGGGACUGGGGCCUUGAUGUUGACUUUGGGGGAAAGAAGCAUGCUGUAAGUCCCGCCUAGGAACACCUGUUAAUCUCAGCCUGCCCUGGUAUUUUCUAGAAGUCUGUUAGCACACCCUCUUUUGCAUGGAAGAAUGCAGUUCUCGGUUACAGUUACAAAUACUUUAAAAUACAGGUUAAGUGAAAAAGGCAGAACAGAGAUCGUAUUAAGCCUAUGAUAGCAAUUACAUGAUGGUCUGGAUGCAUUUAGCCAAGGACAGGAGGGAGACUAGGAAAAAGAACAGUUGUCACUUUGUUCAAGAGGUAAGUAGCGGCAUGGUGUUCUCUUCUAUACUUUUACAAAUAAUAUUUUUGAAGUUUACAUUUUGGAGUGAAUUGUUUGCUUGCCAUAUUGGCCCCGCCCAUUAAAUGGCCCUCUUGCACCAGUUCGUAGUGGAGAUGCUGGGUGGGGUCAGCUGAAUAAUCAUCCCCCAGGACAUUCAUGGCCUGCAAAGGUCAUCUUCCAUGGCAAAAGGGACUUUGCAGAUGUGACUAACUUGGAGAUCUUGAGAUGGGGAACUUUUUCUGGUUCAGCUGAAAUAUAAUCACAAACAAGUAUCCUGGUAGAGGGAGGGAAGAAGGUCAAAGUCAUGGGGGGGAUGGGAAUGCUAGGACUGAAGCAUCAGCUGGGGUGAUGGGUGGAUAGAGCCAAGGAAUGCUGGCAGCCUCCAGGAGCCAGAUAAGGCAAGGAAGCUGAUUCUCCUCUAGAGCUUCCAGGAAGAACCAGCCCUGCCAAGACCUCAAGGAGACUGAUUUCCAAAUUCUGGCCUAUAACUGAGUGAAUUUGAGUGAUGGUAAGUCACUUGGUUUGUGUCGAUGUGCUACUGCAGCCACAGGAAAGGGACACAAGGGUCUCCUGGGGGGGGGGGGGGGGCACGGGUGCUACACCUUGGCCAUUGGCGUGCAUGGAAGCCUGAUGACGGGCUCAGACUUUCUUGCCUCAUGCAGGCUGACCCUGGGAUGGGUUUGUGGCCUCCACAGCUGUUGCUGUGGCCCCCGAGCUUGAGGGCGGAGUGUUUCAGUUACCUGGUUGGUGCUGAAGGCUUUGACCCUGAGACAUAGGAUACUGGGUAUCUUGAGUGAGUUCAUGGACUUUAUUAUCUCCGUCCAGAACCUGUUCCAAGCCUCUGUCUCCCCAUCUAUAAAGUGGGGAUAUUUAUGGAAUUAAUGAGAGUAAAACUAGAUCGUAUACAUCAAACCUCAAGCGCACAGCACACAGCAGGCCCUCUGCAGGGAAUGGGUCCUCCCAUCCCCUACAGAGCUUUCCUGUAGCAAGGUCUGGCCCAGCCCCAGCCAGCGAGAUUGGCGACAUUCUUCUGGGAAUCUAGAACAAUCUGCAGGCCUCACAUGGGCACACAGAGUUCAUGGAGUGGUGGGGGUGAUCUGCACCCGGGUCUCUGCCCCACGACCCAAGUGCCCCCAGUUAGAACACCAGGCUCCCACCCAAUACCAGAAUGUAGUGAAGGUCAACAGACCAGGCCCUUCUCUGGAGAAAAAGUGAAGAGAAGCAAACUGAAGACCCAGCUGGAAUGAAGGAGGGAGGAGAAAAUGCCUUUUUCCUGAUUUUGAAAAACUCAAGAUAGAAAAUAAACAGAACAAAGGCCAUGAACCUCACGUUCCCAUUAACCAGCUCCAACAACGAACAACCUUCUGCUGCUCCACCUCUGCGCGCCCACCCUCUCUCCCCUGCUCACUGUAAAACACACACCUU